AGUGUAGCUAAAUGGUAGAGUACUUGUCUAGCAUGCAAGAAGACCUGGGUUUGAUUCCAGCACU
rnacentral:tRNA from 1 species